UGGGAUGAGAAGCAUCGCCAUAGAUCUUGC
rnacentral:piRNA from 1 species